AGGUCCAUUCUAAUUCCCUGCAGGUCAGUGCCAGUACCUGCUGGGUUUCGCUUGUGGACCACAUUAAACUGGAGAACUCAAGCAUGUGUGAGCUUACUGGUAGUGUGCUCAUGAUGUAGUUUUCUGGACAUGU
ensembl:snoRNA small nucleolar RNA, H/ACA box 52